rnacentral:tRNA from 1 species
GGCAUAGCUCAGUUGGUUAGAGCGCUAGACUGUGGCUCUGGAGGUCGCGGGUUCGAAUCCCGUUGUC